rnacentral:tRNA from 2 species
GCCGAAGUGGUGGAACUGGUAGACACGCCAUCUUGAGGGGGUGGUGGGCAAUCGCCCGUGCGAGUUCGAGUCUCGCCUUCGGCACCA